GUCUUCCAGUUUUUAUUUUGAAUUUUAUGUUUUGUUCCUCCCUGAUCUUUUACUGGAUAGAUUUAGUUCUGUCACCGGACAAUCUAGAGUUCUCCAUACAAGUGGUUUCUCGUCAGUGGAACUCUGCAAAUAUGUUAUUCUUUCAGCUACCGUGCUGCUGACUCAGAGCUCUGGCUCUUCAAAGAGAGCUUACAUAUAUGAACUGAAGAACAGAAGUUGAAAGGAAGAAUAAACUUGAUCUGAACUAUUUUUUUUUGCAUAUGAA